GCUGUGAUGGUGGGGAGGUUAAGGCUUUGGACUUCAAAUACAAGUCCACUGCCAGGUUCAAAUCCGGCUUACAGCA